UACGGGGGGGGUAAGCGUUGUUCGGAAUUACUGGGCGUAAAGGGCUCGUAGGCGGCCAACUAAGUCAGACGUGAAAUCCCUCAGCUUAACUGGGGAACUGCGUCUGAUACUGGAUGGCUUGGAUUCGGGAGAGGAAUGCGGAAUUCCAGGUGUAGCGGUGAAAUGCGUAGAUAUCUGGAGGAACACCGGUGGCGAAGGCGGGUCUCUGGGUAGUAACUGACGCUGAGGAGCGAAAGCGUGGGGAGCGAACAGG
rnacentral:rRNA from 1 species